rnacentral:misc_RNA from 1 species
CCCCCCCCCCCCCCCUUCCUUCUCCAUCCUUUUGAGUGUGGGAAGAGAGGGGCAGAUUUAUAGUUUUCAGCUUUCUGUUUUUUUUUGGUUCUGGAUAUGAAUGAAUCUAAUUUGUGCUGAAUUGCGUCGCGAGAGAAGAUGUUUUAUGCGAGCCUAAGAUGAGAACUUUGAAAAAAUCCAGUGGUUAUUUUUUUUUCCCUGAAGUUUUACGUGUAGUACCUUGACUGAAAUGAAAACAGAAGAAUUUGUGGCUCAUUCAACCA